rnacentral:tRNA from 1 species
GGCAGCGUAGCUCAGUUGGCAGAGCAGGGGAUUCAUAAGCCCCGGGUCACAGGUUCGAGUCCUGUCGCUGCUA